AGAGUUUGAUCCUGGCUCAGAUUGAACGCUGGCGGCAUGCUUUACACAUGCAAGUCGAACGGGCUUGGUGGCUUGCCAUCAAGUUAGUGGCGAACGGGUGAGUAAUGCAUCGGAACGUACCGUGUAGUGGGGGAUAACCCGGCGAAAGUCGGAUUAAUACCGCAUGAGUCUAAGGAAGAAAGCAGGGGAUCGCAAGACCU
rnacentral:rRNA from 1 species